rnacentral:rRNA from 1 species
UUCGCCCUUAGAGUUUGAUCCUGGCUCAGGACGAACGCUGGCGGCGUGCCUAACACAUGCAAGUCGAGCGAGUGGAGUUCUUCGGAACAAAGCUAGCGGCGGACGGGUGAGUAACACGUGGGCAACCUGCCUCAUAGAGGGGAAUAGCCUCCCGAAAGGGAGAUUAAUACCGCAUAAGAUUGUAGCUUCGCAUGAAGUAGCAAUUAAAGGAGCAAUCCGCUAUGAGAUGGGCCCGCGGCGCAUUAGCUAGUUGGUGAGGUAACGGCUCACCAAGGCGACGAUGCGUAGCCGACCUGAGAGGGUGAUCGGCCACAUUGGGACUGAGACACGGCCCAGACUCCUACGGGAGGCAGCAGUGGGGAAUAUUGCACAAUGGGGGAAACCCUGAUGCAGCAACGCCGCGUGAGUGAUGACGGCCUUCGGGUUGUAAAGCUCUGUCCUCAGGGACGAUAAUGACGGUACCUGAGGAGGAAGCCACGGCUAACUACGUGCCAGCAGCCGCGGUAAUACGUAGGUGGCGAGCGUUGUCCGGAUUUACUGGGCGUAAAGGGAGCGUAGGCGGACUUUUAAGUGAGAUGUGAAAUACCCGGGCUCAACUUGGGUGCUGCAUUUCAAACUGGAAGUCUAGAGUGCAGGAGAGGAGAAUGGAAUUCCUAGUGUAGCGGUGAAAUGCGUAGAAAUUAAGAAGAACACCAUUGGUGGAAGGCGAUUCUCUUGGGACUGUAACUGACGCUGAGGCUCGAAAGCGGGGGGAGCAAACAGGAUUAGAUACCCUGGUAGUUCCACGCCGUAAACGAAUGAAUACUAGGUGUAGGGGUUGUCAUGACCUCUGUGCCGCCGCUAACGCAUUAAGUAUUCCGCCUGGGGAGUACGGUCGCAAGAUUAAAACUCAAAGGAAUUGACGGGGGCCCGCACAAGCAGCGGAGCAUGUGGUUUAAUUUGAAGCAACGCGAAGAACCUUACCUAGACUUGACAUCUCCUGCAUUACCCUUAAUCGGGGAAGUUCCUUUGGGGACAGGAAGACAGGUGGUGCAUGGUUGUCGUCAGCUCGUGUCGUGAGAUGUUGGGUUAAGUCCCGCAACGAGCGCAACCCUUAUUGUUAGUUGCUACCAUUUAGUUGAGCACUCUAGCGAGACUGCCCGGGUUAACCGGGAGGAAGGUGGGGAUGACGUCAAAUCAUCAUGCCCCUUAUGUCUAGGGCUACACACGUGCUACAAUGGCAAGUACAAAGAGAAGCAAGACCGCGAGGUGGAGCAAAACUCAAAAACUUGUCUCAGUUCGGAUUGUAGGCUGAAACUCGCCUACAUGAAGCUGGAGUUGCUAGUAAUCGCGAAUCAGCAUGUCGCGGUGAAUACGUUCCCGGGCCUUGCACUCACCGCCCGUCA